rnacentral:rRNA from 1 species
AGAGUUUGAUCCUGGCUCAGGAUGAACGCUGGCGGCGUGCUUAACACAUGCAAGUCGAACGAACCUUCGGGUUAGUGGCGGACGGGUGAGUAACGCGUGAGAAUCUGCCCUCAGGAGGGGGAUAACGGCUGGAAACGGCCGCUAAUACCCCAUAUGCCGAGAGGUGAAAUGAAUUUCGCCUGAGGAUGAGCUCGCGUCUGAUUAGCUAGUUGGUAAGGUAAGAGCUUACCAAGGCAUCGAUCAGUAGCUGGUCUGAGAGGAUGAUCAGCCACACUGGGACUGAGACACGGCCCAGACUCCUACGGGGGGCAGCAGUGGGGAAUUUUCCGCAAUGGGCGAAAGCCUGACGGAGCAACGCCGCGUGAGGGAUGAAGGCCUCUGGGCUGUAAACCUCUUUUCUCAAGGAAGAAGACAUGACGGUACUUGAGGAAUAAGCCACGGCUAAUUCCGUGCCAGCAGCCGCGGUAAUACGGGAGUGGCAAGCGUUAUCCGGAAUUAUUGGGCGUAAAGCGUCCGCAGGCGGCCUUUUAAGUCUGUUGUUAAAGCGUGGAGCUCAACUCCAUUUCGGCAAUGGAAACUGGAAGGCUGGAGUGUGGUAGGGGCAGAGGGAAUUCCCGGUGUAGCGGUGAAAUGCGUAGAUAUCGGGAAGAACACCAGUGGCGAAGGCGCUCUGCUGGGCCAUAACUGACGCUCAUGGACGAAAGCCAGGGGAGCGAAAGGGAUUAGAUACCCCUGUAGUCCUGGCCGUAAACGAUGAACACUAGGUGUCGGGGGAAUCGACCCCCUCGGUGUCGUAGCCAACGCGUUAAGUGUUCCGCCUGGGGAGUACGCACGCAAGUGUGAAACUCAAAGGAAUUGACGGGGGCCCGCACAAGCGGUGGAGUAUGUGGUUUAAUUCGAUGCAACGCGAAGAACCUUACCAGGGUUUGACAUCCUGCGAAUCCCUUGGAAACUUGGGAGUGCCUUCGGGAGCGCAGAGACAGGUGGUGCAUGGCUGUCGUCAGCUCGUGUCGUGAGAUGUUGGGUUAAGUCCCGCAACGAGCGCAACCCACGUCUUUAGUUGCCAGCAUUUAGUUGGGCACUCUAGAGAGACCGCCGGUGAUAAACCGGAGGAAGGUGUGGAUGACGUCAAGUCAUCAUGCCCCUUACAUCCUGGGCUACACACGUACUACAAUGCUACGGACAAAGGGCAGCAAACUCGCGAGAGCUAGCAAAUCCCAUAAACCGUGGCUCAGUUCAGAUCGUAGGCUGCAACUCGCCUACGUGAAGGAGGAAUCGCUAGUAAUCGCAGGUCAGCAUACUGCGGUGAAUACGUUCCCGGGCCUUGUACACACCGCCCGUCACACCAUGGAAGUUGGCCACGCCCGAAGCCGUUACUCCAACCCUUGUGGAGGAGGACGUCGAAGGUGGGGCUGAUGACUGGGGUGAAGUCGUAACAAGGUA